rnacentral:piRNA from 1 species
UGAAACGAUGGUCACGGCGGACGACGC